UAGGAGCCUCCCUUGCAGAGUUUACAAUGU
rnacentral:piRNA from 1 species